CCUACGGGUGGCAGCAGCAAGGAAUUUUGCACAAUGGGCGCAAGCCUGAUGCAGCAACGUCGCGUGGAGGAUGACGGCCUUCGGGUUGUAAACUCCUUUUCGGGGGAAAGAUAGUGACGGUCCCCCCGGAAUCAGCCCCGGCUAACUCCGUGCCAGCAGCCGCGGUAAGACGGAGGGGGCAAGCGUUGUCCGGACUCACUGGGCGUAAAGGGUGCGUAGGCGGCCCUGUGCGUCGGCGCUGAAAGCGCCCGGCUCAACCGGGCGAGGCGUGCCGAUACGAUGGGGCUGGAGGCGCAGAGAGGGUGGCGGAACUCCUGGUGUAGUGGUGAAAUGCGUAGAGAUCAGGAAGAACACCCGUGGCGCAAGCGGCCACCUGGCUGCGACCUGACGCUGAGGCACGAGAGCGUGGGGAGCGAACCGGAUUAGAUACCCGGGUAGUC
rnacentral:rRNA from 1 species